rnacentral:lncRNA from 12 species
UAUCUGUUCCAAAGAUGCACAAAACAGACUAGCAGCUGAUUGCAAAAGAUUCUUUAUUGGCACCAACACAAAAUGGAUUACAGACAAUGGCAGAGGCCACAGUACCAUAAGGACAUUGCAAAGCAAUUACAGAGGAAGAGAUGCUGGUUCUGUACUGAUAUUUUCUGUAUCACUUAUCGACAGAAACAACAUGCAAUGCUCCUACAUCCCAUAGCCCAGGACUCUGGAAUACCACCUGAGGGUGCAUUAGGUUUCCCACAUCUGGCUGUCUCCUAGCUUGGACACCCUUUCCUAUGACCAAGCAGGAUGAUUCUGGCACUUGUGGGGUGGGAGAAGAGUGCAAGGCAGGAUAGAGAAGUGCAGAUCUGCAGUGCAGCACAGCAGAGAGCUCUCACAUUCAGCAUUCCUGUGACACUGGGGGAAACGUGACACAAGCAGAGGCGGAGAUGGAGGUCUCAGAUUUCUUGCCGGGGCUGCAUCUUUGCUCAGCGCUGCAGGAUUUGCAUUCUAACAGCCACAGCCAGGGCGCAGGGGACGCAGGAAGGAAAGCUUGUCAUUGAAAUCGAUUGCCUUGUAAUUUGGAAGGUGCUCGUGCUCUCGUGCAAGGUAUUGAAUUCCACCUCCAUCACUGUGCUCACACAGCAGCCAGACACCUCUCUGGACCUUGUGGGAAGACAUGAUAUCAUUGUCAUGUCCUGCACCCAGGUUGGUCGCUUGUCUUAUCACUCUGCUCUUGCCUUGAUAAUUAACAUGUUCAUAGAGAGUGAUCUGGGGAUUGUGCAGAUCUUCUGUGAUCACCUGCAGAGAGCUGAUCCUGUCAUUCAUACCUUCACCAACAAAUUUGUGCUCGUGCUCUCGUGCAAGGUAUUGAAUUCCACCUCCAUCACUGUGCUCACACAGCAGCCAGACACCUCUCUGGACCUUGUGGGAAGACAUGAUAUCAUUGUCAUGUCCUGCACCCAGGUUGGUCGCUUGUCUUAUCACUCUGCUCUUGCCUUGAUAAUUAACAUGUUCAUAGAGAGUGAUCUGGGGAUUGUGCAGAUCUUCUGUGAUCACCUGCAGAGAGCUGAUCCUGUCAUUCAUACCUUCACCAACAAAUUUGUGCUCUCCCUCCUCCAAUACCAGGAAUUUGCCUUCAUAGUUCUGAUGCUCAUAAGCCACCCAAGGCUGGCCAAUGACUUUCACUGACGAGACAACAUCAUUCCAAUCUGCAUCUCUUAGAUCAGAAAUGUUGAAUGGUGAAUGUUUUGGAAAGACCCUGGAAGUUGGCACCCC